ACUCAAAUGAAUUGACGGGGGCCCGCACAAGCAGUGGAGCAUGUGGUUUAAUUCGAUGCAACGCGAAGAACCUUACCUAGGUUUGAAAGGCAAGUGACAGGCGAUGAAAGUCGCUCUCGUAGCAAUACGCACUUGUACAGGUGCUGCAUGGCUGUCGUCAGCUCGUGCCGUGAGGUGUUAGGUUAAGUCCUGCAACGAGCGCAACCCCUGCACUUAGUUGCCAGCAAGUAAUGUUGGGCACUCUAAGUGGACUGCCUACGCAAGUAGUGAGGAAGGUGGGGAUGACGUCAAGUCCUCAUGGCCCUUACACCUAGGGCCACACACGUGCUACAAUGGCCACUACAAAGGGUCGCUAAGACGCAAGUCGGAGCCAAUCCCAAAAAAGUGGUCUCAGUUCGAAUUGGGGUCUGCAACUCGACCCCAUGAAGCUGGAAUUGCUAGUAAUCGCGGAUCAGCACGCCGCGGUGAAUACGUUCCCGGGCCUUGCACACACCGCCCGU
rnacentral:rRNA from 1 species